UGGUCCCGAUUGAAUAGUCGCCAUUAAUAGAAGUGUGACUAGUUCACUUACGAUGUCAAGCGGUCUACUAUCGUGCGUUACAUUGGAAUAUACUGUGUAAAUCUAACAGUGAACAUGAGGGGUAUGGCGUGUUUUCGGUGACGUAAUGAGAAUGGAGUCCAGUACACCAGUAAAAAUACUCUGUCAUGUCAGAGCAUGUGUGAUUCCUGAAAAAAUUGUAUUGAGACUACUUGAAAUAUGUCGACAUGCAAUGUGACCCGAGAGAAGAUGUAUGUUUCUGCCACAUCCUCCACAUGUAUAAUUCCACAAUGAAAGACUGCACACGAAGCAGAAUUCUUACGAGAACAUGAAAACAAUCAAUAAAGCAAGCUCACCCUGUGCCGCCUAAGCCAGUUCCUGUGCCAAAAGACUGAUGACAUUCUGCUACAAAUUGGCUGCCAGCUGCUGCUUUUCUUCAGAUUUUUCAUUGAAACUCAUGAUGUUGAACAUUGCUGUGCAAGAAGAGAACUCCUUACUAUGUUAUGGCUGGCCUCGGUCCAUUUUGUAACAUUGUGGAAUACCUUACACUUGUUACUGUGUUUCCAUGUUCCUGGUGUUGUUCAAGGGAAAACCUUGAGAGUCGCAAAACACCAUCAGCAUUAACUUCCAGGCUGAUGGCUGAGUCUUGAAUUUUUUGGCAGCAGGAGACGAUGGGUGCUCCCAAUGCACACUCUCGUUGCGGUCGAUAAUUACGUAUCGAAGUCUCACUGCCAGUAAUGAUGUUGUACAAAAAACUGCUGCCUUCACCAUGUUACUGCUCCAGCAGACGAGAGCUGAUGUCCACACGAUUGUGCUUGCACUCUUUUGUCAAUUCCUUUGGAGCCCACCAUGAACAAACUUUGUUUAAUCCACGAAUCACAUGCACCAUUUAAUGACCUGAAUCUUCAAUGAUGUCUAAUGUUUACACAGUGUCCCUUAUUGUUAUACUUUAAUCAACUUCUUCAGCUGUUCUGUUGCUGCUAAACCUUACAAAACUGCCCAAGACUUAACAGAUGUAUCACUCUGUUGAAACUGUUUAUAAAAUUCUGUAACCAUAAUAAAUUUCUUUUAUAAAUAAUA